rnacentral:rRNA from 1 species
GAUGAACGCUGGCUACAGGCUUAACACAUGCAAGUCGAGGGGAAACGACGGGGAAGCUUGCUUCCCCGGGCGUCGACCGGCGCACGGGUGAGUAACGCGUAUCCAACCUGCCUCUGACUGAGGGAUAACCCGUCGAAAGUCGGCCUAAUACCUCAUGGCAUCGUCUGCGGGCAUCCAACGACGAUUAAAGAUUUCAUCGGUCAGAGAUGGGGAUGCGUCUGAUUAGCUUGUUGGCGGGGUAACGGCCCACCAAGGCGACGAUCAGUAGGGGUUCUGAGAGGAAGGGACGGCAGAAGGGAGGGAAGUUACGGACCAGACGAGUACGUGAGGCAGCAGUGAGGCAUAUUGAUUAAGGGGCGAGAGGCUGAACAAGCCAGGUAGCGUGCGGGAAGACGGCCGUACGGGUUGUAAACUGCUGUUAUGCGGGGAUAAAGUGAGGGCCGGGGCCUUAAUUGCAGGUACGGCAUGAAUAAGGACCGGCAAAUGCCGUC